rnacentral:rRNA from 1 species
GAUGAACGCUGGCGGCGUGCCUAAUACAUGCAAGUCGAGCGAACGGACGAGAAGCUUGCUUCUCCGAUGUUAGCGGCGGACGGGUGAGUAACACGUGGAUAACCUACCUAUAAGACUGGGAUAACUUCGGGAAACCGGAGCUAAUACCGGAUAAUAUUUUGAACCGCAUGGUUCAAAAGUGAAAGACGGUCUUGCUGUCACUUAUAGAUGGAUCCGCGCUACAUUAGCUAGUUGGUAAGGUAACGGCUUACCAAGGCAACGAUGCAUAGCCGACCUGAGAGGGUGAUCGGCCACACUGGAACUGAGACACGGUCCAGACUCCUACGGGAGGCAGCAGUAGGGAAUCUUCCGCAAUGGGCGAAAGCCUGACGGAGCAACGCCGCGUGAGUGAUGAAGGUCUUCGGAUCGUAAAACUCUGUUAUUAGGGAAGAACAUAUGUGUAAGUAACUGUGCACAUCCUGACGGUACCUAAUCAGAAAGCCACGGCUAACUACGUG